GCGGCCGUAAUCUAGCCUGGUGGGCUUGCCGGGAAGUAGGAUCUGAGCUUCCCAAGCUCAUUGCCCGGGUUCAAAUCCCGGCGGCCGCA
rnacentral:tRNA from 1 species